CAAACAUGGAAUGGAUUAUUCUGGAGAAAAUUAAUGAAAAUGUUGGAUGGAGGGGAACUUGAAGCAGAUGCAUAUCUUUCCCUGACCACACUGAAGUGAAAUAGGAAUAGCAGAAAUGGGAAGAGUUGGAAUAAUACAGAAAAAAUUACUGAAUAAUUAUAGAGCCUCUCCUCUAAAUGUGAUGAUAUUCAAGAGGGAACAGUGGGCUUUGAGAGUCUUAUCAGCAGAUUCAUUGAUCUUGCUUUGUACCUUUACCGGGAUCCAUAUUCAAGAGAACUUCAAGAUUGUAUUUAAUACAAGAGUUUUUGAGAAGAGCUUUCCCCUGUUCCAGAAUUUCUGGAAGACUAACUUGGAGUUUA
rnacentral:lncRNA from 1 species